GACGAACGCUGGCGGCGUGCCUAAUACAUGCAAGUAGAACGCUGAAGGAGGAGCUUGCUUCUCUGGAUGAGUUGCGAACGGGUGAGUAACGCGUAGGUAACCUGCCUGGUAGCGGGGGAUAACUAUUGGAAACGAUAGCUAAUACCGCAUAACAGUAGAUAUCGCAUGAUAUCUACUUGAAAGGUGCAAUUGCAUCACCACCAGAUGGACCUGCGUUGUAUUAGCUAGUUGGUGAGGUAACGGCUCACCAAGGCGACGAUACAUAGCCGACCUGCGAGGGUGGUCGGCCACCCUGGGAGUGAGACACCGCCCAGACUACUACGGGAAGCAGCCGUAGUGAAUCUUCGGCAAUGGACGGAAGUCUGCCCCAGUAGCGCCGCGUGAGUGAAGAAGGUUUUCGGAUCGUAAAGCUCUGUUGUAAGGGAAGAACGAGUGUGAGAGUGGAAAGUUCACACUGUGACGGUACCUUACCAGAAAGGGACGGCUAACUACGUG
rnacentral:rRNA from 1 species